UUGGGUAGAGGCGGCAGCGGCUCUCCUCCUCUCUCUGCUGGAAGUGGUCUGAACAGAAGGACAAAAUAUUGGUCAUCCAAAGGCACCAGUGUGGUACCAGUCAAGCCCUCUCUAAUGUCAAAGUUAAGGCAAAGUUGGGAAAGUUAGGAUAGUGUUUAAGCAGGGUGUCUGGAUAGGAGCAGUUAGUACCUUUGUCCUAAUUUUGGUAUUCUACGUACAGUCCUUUGGUGACCAUUGGAUUGAGAAAAAAAAAAAAAAAAAAGCUAAUCUACACCAUUCAAUUUGGGGUAACAUGAAAACCUCUUCUCUAUUAGAACUCGUUUUGUUGGCGUUGUCAUUGCACUAGCGCUAUUGAGAGGGCAAGUACAUAGUUCACGUGGUGGUGGCUCUUAUUCAUGAUCUAGGGCUUCGUCAAAACUUCUUUCGUAUUCGUGGCUGGGCUGGUGGAAUUGAGGUGAUCACUGAACUUGUCG
rnacentral:lncRNA from 1 species